AACGUAGGUGGCGAGCGUUAUCCGGAUUUACUGGGCGUAAAGCGUGUGCAGGCGGGGAACCAAGUGGGGUUUGAAAUUUCCCGGCUUAACCGGGAAGGGUUAUGCCAGACUGGUUUUCUGGAGUGCGAGAGAGGGGCGUGGAAUUCCGGGUGUAGUGGUGAAAUGCGUAGAGAUCGUAAGGAAGACCAGUGGCGAAGGCGGGUCUCUGGACAGUUCCUGACACUGAGGCACGAAGGCCAGGGGAGCAAACGGG
rnacentral:rRNA from 1 species